rnacentral:tRNA from 1 species
UCCUUGGUGGCUCAGAUGGUAAAGCAUCUGCCUACAAUGUGGGAGACCCAGGUUCAAUCCCUGGGUUGGGAA